GAGGUUAAGCGACUAAGCGUACACGGUGGAUGCCCUGGCAGUCAGAGGCGAUGAAGGGCGUGCUAAUCUGCGAUAAGCGCCGGUAAGGUGAUAUGAACCGUUAUAACCGGCGAUACCCGAAUGGGGAAACCCAGUGUGACUCGUCACACUAUCAUUAACUGAAUCCAUAGGUUAAUGAGGCGAACCGGGGGAACUGAAACAUCUAAGUACCCCGAGGAAAAGAAAUCAACCGAGAUUCCCCCAGUAGCGGCGAGCGAACGGGGAGGAGCCCAGAGCCUGAAUCAGCAUGUGUGUUAGUGGAAGCGUCUGGAAAGGCGCGCGAUACAGGGUGACAGCCCCGUACACAAAAGCGCAUGUGCUGUGAGCUCGAUGAGUAGGGCGGGACACGUGGUAUCCUGUCUGAAUAUGGGGGGACCAUCCUCCAAGGCUAAAUACUCCUGACUGACCGAUAGUGAACCAGUACCGUGAGGGAAAGGCGAAAAGAACCCCGGCGAGGGGAGUGAAAAAGAACCUGAAACCGUGU
rnacentral:rRNA from 2 species